GAUUUUGACAAAGUGUGGAAGAAUGAGGAAUCUGUCUGUUGGAAGAUGUAUUUAUUACUACCAGUCAUAAUGAUGUUCUGUCCUCGCUAGGCUCAUUUGAAUGGCUCAGUGUGGCAGGACCCUCAGGGUAUCUUGACAGCGACCGUGGACACCGAACUAGAGGGCAAAAGGGGUUUCCUGAGGCUGAAUGCAAGGGCCUGGCCGGAGCUGAGUGUGGAAGGCGAGCUCAGUCACAACCUUCCUGCUCUCAAAGGUUUACUGCAGCACAGCAGACUGAGGGUCACCUGCAGGGCCGGAAAACAACGAUAUGACAGCGAAGCCCUCCUUCAGAUGGAGGAGUGUACCGUCAGAGCCAGUGGAGCUGUGAUGUCACAGCCUGGCCUGCAGGGGGCGCUGCUGUAUCACAACAACUGCACCAUGAUUCAGGAGUGGGGUAGUCCGGACAGGAUGCAGUCUUCCGGGUCGUUGGUUGUCUCCCCAACUCUUGCAGAAUCUCAGGUCUCCAUAGCGAUAGAUGAUGCAGAGUUACAGGCUUCGGUGGCUCUUAAGAAAACCAAGGUCUGGAAAUGCAUGAAAACAUUUGUUACCUAAAACAAAGCCUUUAACAUCCAAUGAAACUUUUACUUGUAAUACAAAGAGACGAAGGAUGUGACGCCAUGUAUCACCAUCCAGUGCUGUUGUUUUUUCAGGAUAAAAAUGAAGCAUCUCUCAAUCUAAAUCACUCCGUGCCCCUGUUGAAGGAGCUGGGUCUCCCUGUUACUGCUGCACUGACAAUGAAUUCUGGGAGUCACGGCAAUGGCUCGUACUAUUACCUUCUACAUAGCAGCGCAGGAAGCCAGAAGGUAGGAGGCAGCAUUAGCACUCUGUGAAACAGUUUCUUGGGAUGUUGGGAUGAAAUGCCAGGACCACAAUGAUCUACUGUAUAUGCAUCUAUAACCACAGCAACCUUCUACUGUAUGUAACCGCUGCUUCUCUCAAUGUUUCACAGCUAACUCAAGGGAUGACUGUCUCAAAGAUGUCUGAAACAGUCAGAAUGAAAAGUUAUUUUAGACACACAGUGAACUAUCUGAAGAAAGUGGGAGUCCCUGCAAACAACAGCAUCCAGGUGAGAAACCAGAAGCUCAAGAAGUGACGGUUGAAUGACUUGAAACAGCUCACCGAAUGAAGGUGGACGUGAAAAAGUGAAGUGCCAAUGGGCCGUCGGAC
rnacentral:lncRNA from 1 species